UACGUAGGUGGCAAGCGUUAUCCGGAAUUAUUGGGCGUAAAGCGCGCGCAGGUGGUUUCUUAAGUCUGAUGUGAAAGCCCACGGCUCAACCGUGGAGGGUCAUUGGAAACUGGGGAACUUGAGUGCAGGAGAGAAGAGUGGAAUUCCACGUGUAGCGGUGAAAUGCGUAGAGAUGUGGAGGAACACCAGUGGCGAAGGCGACUCUUUGGUCUGUAACUGACGCUGAGGCGCGAAAGCGUGGGGAGCGAACAGG
rnacentral:rRNA from 1 species